GGGGAGCUGAUUUUUACAGAUUACUGUUUUCAAACAAUAUUUUUAAUUUACAGUUGAUGGUUGAAAAAAAAAACUUACAUUUUGCACAAAUAGUAUUACAGCCUCCUUCCCAGUUGGUCACAAUUAAUUCAGUCCCCUAUAAGAAAAGGAGAGGAAAAAGAAGUUAAUCAAAGAUAAUCAACGUUUUCCCAUCUUUAGGACUUACCAAGGGAUCAUACCUUAAAGUGCCAUGGAAACACUUUGAGCACAAGGAAUCCUGCAACAGUAGGAGAUGAUGCCAGUAGGAACAUCAUAAAUUGUAGUGAUGAUGCAGUAGAUCACACUCUAGGAAUGGAUCUUAUUGGGUGACAACACUUCCAGAACCUGUCCAUUAGUGAAGCCUUUCUAGUUCUAUAAUGGUGCCAUAACAACUGAUCUGGAAAACAAUCAAUGCAUGUUAAAUAUAAGAGACCUAACACAAGUUUAUGCCCCUACCCACAUUGUUCUUACUGUUGAACUUCAUUAAUUAGAUUUAUUAGGUAGAAAGAAAAUUUAUGUUCUUAAGGGGAUGAAACAAACCAUUUGUUUUUGUCUAGUUGCCUUGCAGGCUCGCAGAUAGUGUCAUGAGAAUAGUAGACUAAAAUACAAUGGGAACAACCUAGUUGUGAUAUAAAAAACAGUAGUGACAUCGAAAAUGCAGACAAGUUUCAAAUCUGUGGAUGCCAAUAAGCAUCUGAACAAGUUAUCCAUUAGAUGCGUCAAAUUAUCUAUAGUAUGUCUCCUUCGAGAAAUCCAACGAUAGGCUAUCACAACGAGAAAGAUAAAACCGAAGAGAAAACCUGAGAACUUUGUCCUGUGAAAGAACAGUGCUAUCAUCUUUUUUGUCUUGCCUUGCAACUUGCUACUUGAUUAUAUGCCUUUCCUGUCAAGAAGGCCAAUAUGAAAUCAAAGUCAACCAUGAGGAACAUCAGCCUCAUCAAACAAGGAAACAUUUAAAAAAAAAGAAUAACUAAGAUUCAAUUUUAGCUGCAUGACCAAAUGAAAUGAAGCCAUGAGUUUGAAAAUUUAGUAUAAGAAAUUAAGGAGUGAUGACUGCAAUGGCUCCUCAAAUAUGGAUCCACAGUGAAUCUUCUUACAAAAAACAUACUUAACAAUUACUUCAUUUUGGCUUGGAACAUGCAUGACUAUAAGAAAUACCAAGUAAUUAGAAACUGGCAUAGCAAAACUAGAAUAAACUGAUUUACUUCAACAAUUUUUUUACUUUUACAGUUAAUUACACCAUACCAUCUCCCCAAGAUGAUACUGUAAAUGGUGAAAGCAUUAUCUCUUGGAAAGAGAACAAUAUUUUCUUAAACAUACUUAAUGCUCAAUGGAGGUCCUGCGAGAUCGAGAAGAAGGAAGAUGAUCAAUAAUUCCAGGUAAAAAUUGCAAAAUUUGCAUGAACAAUUAUAGUGAAGGGUAAGUGGGAUUGAUGUAUCCAAAUUCAGUUUGUAAGACAUGCUAUAUUAUUCAGAUGAAGACAAAAUACUCAGACAUAGAUGCUAUAUCAAAAAUCUUACAAAUGAGAUGGAGACAGCUAAAGGAAUCCUACUAAGUCGAACUUUGACAAAGAUAUACAACAACCUACACAAGUCAAUCCCAUUAAAAACCUGCUGUUGAGGUUUAAAUGUAAUACUCAGCAGAAUUUUUGAGAAAAAUUCUGUUUCGGACCAAUCAAGUAUAUCAUCUUCCAACUUUGUCAUUUCAGAUAUAAUUGCUAUGCUGGUUCAAAGACUCAACAGUGUGCGGCAAGUUUCUGGAUUGUCUGCUUUGAGAGGAAUGACAACUUAUCAUAAUAGUACAUGAAUGGUUCUACUUCACUUGCCUUGUUCAUUUACUGUCUUAUGCUCUCCCAAGAGAGCCUUUUAUUCUGCAAAAAAUCCAAAAGGAUACUAAUAGCACUUGUAGUAAAAAACCUUUCUCUUAAAGCUUUUUCAUCUAUGGAAAUCUGGUUUGGAACAAAACCUGCUAAAAUACAGGAAGCUUGCUCAGGGGAAACUUAAUUGGACACCAUGUUGUGGGAAUUUGUGUCAUUACAAUGCAAUGACGAAGGCUUUACUUUGUGCUCGGAAAGGCCAGAGCUUCAGCUUGAGCACAUCCAAAUGCUGCGUCUACACCAAUCAGACACGUCCCCGUGCAAGUGCCAAUCAAUCAAAAACAUGAGCAAGUCUGUCAGCAAGCAUCCAUCUCCACUGCCAGUACAAUCCAGCACAGCAAAGAACAAGCUCCAAGUGCGCAAUCACUCUCCCUAUCUCAUUACCAAGCCAUUUGAAAAACCUAGAUUUCCUCUAAACAAUACUUCCCAUGAAGAAAUCCACAAAUUAACCAUCCUAAGAAGCUCUGCAACAAAAGUACAGCAUUCUAGGUGACAAAUUUCCCUUGUCUGCAGAAAGCAUGAAAUACGAAGACACUAACAAUAACAUCAACUUUAUGAUAUUGUCAGUCCAACCUCGAAUUGAAGGAAAACAUGGAGUACGAAAUGAACUCAAGGACGUUAAGAGAACUGGCCACGAAAUAACGAACCGAUAAGAGGUCGCAAAGAGGGCGAUCGACACGGACAAAACGCAAGAAUGAUCGAGUCUAAACAGAAGAUCGUGACGAAUGGAAUCGUUUACACAGCAAAAGAGCGUUCGGGUUAGGGUUAAUCUUCUCGGCAUACCAACCUUGGGAGCCCUGAGGCGGGAGACUGCAACGCGAAGCAUGAUCGAAUGGUUAAUCGCGAAAGGUCCUUG
rnacentral:lncRNA from 1 species